AUUGAACGCUGGCGGCAUGCCUUACACAUGCAAGUCGAACGGUAACAGGUCUUCGGAUGCUGACGAGUGGCGAACGGGUGAGUAAUACAUCGGAACGUGCCUAGUAGUGGGGGAUAACUACUCGAAAGAGUGGCUAAUACCGCAUGAGAUCUACGGAUGAAAGCAGGGGAUCGCAAGACCUUGUGCUACUAGAGCGGCCGAUGGCAGAUUAGGUAGUUGGUGGGAUAAAAGCUUACCAAGCCGACGAUCUGUAGCUGGUCUGAGAGGACGAUCAGCCUCACUGGGACUGAGACACGGCCCAGACUCCUACGGGAGGCAGCAGUGGGGAAUUUUGGACAAUGGGCGCAAGCCUGAUCCAGCAAUGCCGCGUGCAGGAUGAAGGCCUUCGGGUUGUAAACUGCUUUUGUACGGAACGAAAAGCCCCGGGUUAAUACCCUGGGGUCAUGACGGUACCGUAAGAAUAAGCACCGGCUAACUACGUGCCAGCCGCCGCCGUAAUAC
rnacentral:rRNA from 1 species